UCCUACGGGUGGCUGCAGUGGGGAAUUGUUCGCAAUGGGCGCAAGCCUGACGACGCAACGCCGCGUGGAGGAUGAAGAUUUUCGGAUCGUAAACUCCUGUCGAAUGGGACGAAUGGCUCGGCCGUGAAUAACGGUCGGGAAUGACGGUACCGUGAGAGGAAGCCCCGGCUAACUCCGUGCCAGCAGCCGCGGUAAUACGGGGGGGGCGAGCGUUGUUCGGAAUUACUGGGCGUAAAGGGCUCGUAGGUGGCCAUCUAAGUCAGACGUGAAAUCCCUCGGCUCAACCGGGGAACUGCGUCUGAUACUGGGCGGCUUGAAUUCGGGAGAGGGACGUGGAAUUCCAGGUGUAGCGGUGAAAUGCGUAGAUAUCUGGAGGAACACCGGUGGCGAAGGCGGCGUCCUGGACCGAUAUUGACACUGAGGAGCGAAAGCCAGGGGAGCAAACGGGAUUAGAUACCCUAGUAGUCG
rnacentral:rRNA from 1 species